rnacentral:rRNA from 1 species
AACGUAGGAGACGAACGUUAUCCGGAGUUACUGGGCGUAAAGGGCGUGCAGGCGGUCUGAUAAGUUCGGCGUGAAAUAUUCCGGCUUAACCGGGAUAGGUCGUCGGAGACUGUCGGACUAGAGGGUGAUAGAGGCGUGUGGAAUUCCGGGUGCAGUGGUGAAAUGCGUAGAGAUCCGGAGGAACACCAGUGGCGAAGGCGACACGCUGGGUCACACCUGACGCUAAAGCGCGACAGCAUGGGGAGCGAACGGG